AAAAUGAAAGCCAAGAGAAUCAUAGAAUAGCUAAGGUUGAAAAGACCUCCAAAAUCACCAUGUCCAGCCAGUAACACAGUUAGUAAAAACCGUUGUACACAAACCUUAUUUGAUAAACCUGACCAAAUCAUGACUGAGCAUAUUAUUGAGUCUAAUAAUUAGAGCAGGGUUUUUAACAGCGGGUUGUGAGUCUCCGCAGCACUGAGCACAAUGAAACUGAUAAAGGCCCACACUGCCUUUAUUAAAUGUCAUAAUUCUGCUUAUUUUUAGUCAUCUACAUGCUUGUGUAACUUUUAAAUAAUGCUUCAACCUUUAAUUUUCCCAUCAUAUAAAUCCUGCCUAAUUAGCUUAUUUUAUUUUAUUUGGGCAGUAUUUUUAAAAUAUUAACCCCACUGUAGCUGAUUAAUUAUGUUGUAAGCAGGAUAUUUUAAAACGGGCUGAUUGAUAGUCUUGCCAGUAUUUUGUAUUUCAGAAGUCAGCAUCCUGGAAGUUAUGGACAGAUAAUAGAGACAGGUCUCUCCUUUGUGUGUCUGAUCUCGAAGGGGAUCUGAUUUUCAGAGAAUGAGUGUUUGAGCAUUUUUAAAGUGUAGGUGACUUUCCUCUGGUACUGCUUAACACAGUCCUGUGACAGUAAAGGUGACGGGGAUCCAUCACCCUGGGGCAUAGGACUACAUCCUGCAUUAGAUUUUCACACGUCUUCAGGAGACAUUUCAAGUGCCAAAGCACGUGCCUGUUGCCAAUUUACAUUCUGGAAUAUUGUGCAUGCCUGCAAGCUGCAAUGAGUGUCCUAGAGAUCCCAUGCUGUGUCUGAAAGAAAUUAUUCUGCAGAUGCCUAAGCUAACUCAGGGUGUGUAAAUGGCCCACAUCACACAGGGACCUCCCAACCCCAGUAUCUAUUUCUGUUUAGGCAGUUAAGGUUUGUCAUGUAUUAUUCUGAAUAUACAAAAAUAAAAUAACUGUGGAUCACAUUGGGUAGACAGGACAUGACUCCAAAGAGCUCUGCUGAAAUAUCCACAUAUGGUCUGUUGCAUAAUACUUUAUUUGUCCCAGAAGAGUUCAGAUGAUAGAUGAUGGCUGGGGUUUGAACUUGUGCAUCAGGAAGGCCACUUUGAAUAUAAAGGGGGCAGUCUGUGUUUUGUGAAACUAGCCAUGCAAAGAGGCUGUAGUGGAGGAAUGGUAUCGUAUUUGCAGGGUGCCCUGAUGAAGGGAGGAAUGAUCCAUCUGACUCCAUGUUCUCAGAAGGCUAAUUUAAUAUUUUAUUAUACUAUAUUAUAUUAAAGAAUACUAAAGCAUACUAUGCUAAAGAAUGCAGAAAGGAUACUUACAGAAGGCUGAAAAGAUAAUAAUGAAACUCAUGACUCUCUCCAGAGUCUGACACAGCUUGGCACAGACUGGCCAAAGAGUCAAAACAACUCACAGCAGAAACCAAUGGAACAAUCACCUGUGGGUAAACAAUCUCCAAACAUAUUCCACAACAGCAAAACACAGGAGAAGCACAUGAGAUAAUAAUUGCUUUCCUUUUUCUCUGAGGCUUCUCAGCUUUCCAGGAGAAAAAUCCUGGGUGAAGGGAUUUUUCAGAGAAUGUGAAUGCCACAGAAUGGCUUUCAGCGUCAUUGGAAUUGUGGAAAUUGUGGAAUUUCUGUGGAAACAAGGCGGUUGUUUAUAGUGCUGUCUGCAGCUCCUGAAGCUGGUUCAGAGAUGGGGUGUGGAUGGGGUUAAAGCAGGGGAGCCUGUGGAGGCUUUCCCAGGGCUCCCAGUGCUCCCAGUGUGGGCAGCCCUGGAGAGAGAGGGGGCCAAAGGGACCCGAGGCAUGUCCCCGUGCCCUUGAGUAAGGGUCUUUUUGUGUUUUCAUUUGUUGUUAAAAGGAAGAAGCUUUUCUUCGGAAGAAUGGGUCCGUAAGGCUAAAACAAUUAAACGUUGCCCAAAAAGUAAAAAGCAAUAGACGUGAUUCACCUCGUGUUAAAAUCGGCCUGGCCUUUCCUGUUUCGAGCAGGUCUGAGGGAGGGCUGUGAGCUCAGGGACUCAGAGCAGGAGCCAGAGGAGGUCACUGCGGCUGCCUGACGGCAAACCAGAGAGAGAGAUGGAGUCUAAAGGAGUGACGUCCUGUCCUGUGUGCUUUGAAUGUGGUGACUGAGGAAAACAAAGUCCUUUAGGAGAGAUGAGAGUUGAGCUGCGUCCCUGGAAAGCGGUGUAAGGAUGAGCAGCCGCUGGGAAUUGCCCCCCUUUUCCCCGCCGCAUUUGUGCUGAGUGCCCUCUGGAGGUUUUGGACAUGCAGUGACCCAGGAGAGUCCCGGCUGCGCGGCUGUGCCUGAGCUCUUCAGGACUCCUUGCUUCAAAGGUUCCCCCUGUCUUUUUUUAUUCCUUUGGGGAAGAUAUUCUAGCCGACCUAAACGAGCAGAACACAGUUAAAUCAGCUUUUAGUUUAAGUCAGAAUUACGGCUAUGAGUUACUCAGAAAAGGUAAAAAAAUAAUUUAAAACUUCAUCCGAAUUGCCAGACAGCCAAACUAAAUCUGUUCCAUAUUUAGGAGCUUUGAUUAGCUUUAUCAAUGUAUCGAAGUGUGCUUCCUACUUCUGUUUCUGUUUUUUCCCUAGUUCUUGUUGGGGCUAAAGGGAAACUGCUAAAAUACCCUUGGAGCCUCUUCUUGUAAGAUAUAUCAGAGAUCUCAGGGGAAGCCUGCUAUCCUUAUUCUUCCAGCCAAGUUCUGUAGCCAGAGGAACUCUGGAUAACUUCAGUAACUGUAGUAACUUUUGGGUGCUCAUCUGGUUUUCUUGUAAUCUGUAAAUUCUCCACUUUUGUCCACUUAUUCCCCUAAGUCCACUUACUAUUAUUCCCCUUUUGUCCACUUAUUCCCCUAUUUAAUUACCCAUUAGGGUAAUUAAAAUAAAGUGUAUUAAAAUAAAUAGCUGCAGUUGCACUGACCAGCAUGAUAUCUUCAUUGAAGAUGUGUAUUAAAAAUUCUGACUUGAAGAAGCAAAAUUCAAUAUUGAAUUAUUAUUACUAUUGGGUUCUGACAUGGAGUUUUGCCUCUGAAAAACAUUUAGAAAUUUUUUUUUUUUUACUCUUGAUACACUUAUUUUUCUGCUAGUGUAGCAGGUGUUUUUCUUAACCAUUUUUAAGGAGAAAUCCUAAGUUUAGAGGAAAUGAGCACUCAAUUAUUUAAAUUUCCUGAGAUUAGAGGAAGAACACUUUGCCAAACAAUGCCUCUUCACUUCAAAACCUCUCCCCAUAAAUUAUGUUAGGGGAUCUUAUUAAAAGUCUUUAAAAAUUUCCUAUUAAAAAUGGUUGAUUGCAGUCCAGACCGUCACAGCUUUUGUGCUUUCAGUGAAAUACCACAGCUGUCGCAAAGAAAUAUACUGUGAGACAAAAGGUUUUGUUUCCUUAGCCAUAAAUUAUUUUUGUGAUAUCUGAGGUAAGAUAAAACUUUCACUUAUGUUUGAGUGAAGGAAGAUUCCAGUGAUAACUUGUUCAAAAUCUAUAAAAAGAAUAUAAGAAUGUAGAUCUAGAUAGCAAAUUAGAAUCAGACUUCCUUUUUGUUUGAGGAAAGCAAUUAUUUCUGAAGUCAGUGAAGAUUAUAACCAGGGAUAAUAGCAUAACUUUGCAAAGCACUGUGCCUUUAUCUCAGUAGAACCUGAAGUUUAGGCUUUCAAGUCUGACCUUUGAGAACUCUACCACAGAAACCUUUAGUGUUGGGCAGUUUUUGAACCAAAGUUAAACAAUAGGAAGUAGUCUGUUUACUAAUUGUGCUAUAUUAUUUUAUGCUAUAACUGUAACACAUAGCAUUACAUUACAAUAAAACAAAUAAACAGACCUCUUUGUAUCGUUAAGGAAGCAUCAAACAAAUAAGUUUUGACCAUAUUUGUUUUCCUAUUAGCAAAUGAGUUUUUUGCUGUGGGUUCUGCAGGAACCUCCAGGGAACAGGCUGUGAAGUAUUUGCUGUCAGGACUGAAUUCUGUGUUCACCCAGUCAAGGAGUAGAAGCAUAUUCCAGGUAUGACCUGUGAACGUAAUGAAAAUAUGAAAAUACAGCAUAUAUACUAAAAAUUAUUUGUCCAAAUAUGUUGCCAAGUAAUUUUGAACAAAAGAUAUAUUAGGGCAUUCACAAUUUGCUCAUCCGUCAUUGUUUUAUGGAUAAAGGUCAAAUUUCUCAGCCUCCUCCCCUGCUCGUUAUAGAGAUUACUGAAUAAAGAAAUACAGGACAGGUGCUGGAACCCAGAAUUGGAGACAUUUUAGGUUACAUAUGGGAAAAAACAAUGUGCUUAUUCUAUUUAUCAAUAACAUUAAUAACUAAGCCAGUUCUCCUUACCCAGUACCAUCUCAAGGGUUUACUGGAAUUUGUUUAUAUUUGUAUUUAAAUCAGGAGUGUAUAAAACAGAAAUGCAAGGUGGCCUUUUCUUCUGUUGUGCAAAGAGAAGUGGAGUACACAGCCUUGAUCCUUUAGUAAGAUUCAUUACUGUGGCCCCCUACCUUUUUCCUUCUGAAGGAUUUUUCUUAUAACUCAAAAUUCAUUUUCAUAGUGCUUUUUUCAUGUGCUUGCAUUCUUUGGGUCAAACUUAGACUGAAAGAACUAUGAAGAUAAAUAUAAAUCAAAAUAAUCAGCACUUGGGAAUGAUUUCCUUUGUGAGGGUGAAGAUAUCUCUUGAUAUCCCAUGUACCUGGGGCAGGGACAAGGUGGGUCAGCUCUUUGUGGAAUCAGGAGUUAAUGCACGCCAGUGUGGAUGGUGCACACAAUUCCAUACUGCUCCAGCCAUUGCCAGAGGAUGUGUGGGGCACCUGGGGGUCAGGGGGAGCACCUAAAACCUCUGUAUCCUUGUAGGGUCCAGCUCUGUGUUCUCACUCAUGCUGAACGGUCUUUUACAAGUAAUCCCACUGAUGUCAGAGAGACUUUUCUGUAAUAAAAUGCUGUCUGACAAGAAUAUGGAUAUCAGAAUCUGGCCCUGCUUGUACUAAUUCCAUUUUAAUGAAUACUUAAAUGGAAUUGUUAUUAAAAAAGUCUAUUUCCUAAUAUUCAAUAAAUCAAAACUAUAAAAUCAGCUUGCCAGUUGUUGCCACUCUAGUCAAAGCCAUUUUCUCUCGUAUUGAAAAUAAUAGUACAUACUGUCUCCAUUCAGGAGGGAUUAAUUGUAAUACUUUUAUCUGCUUCAUAAGAUUUAUUUCUAAUAAUGAAGAGCAGAGCAAAGUAGGGGAGCUUUAAACUUUUAUUGUUUUUAUUAAAGAACCAUAUAUUCCUGAGAUGUUCCACAAACAUGGAAUUCGCUUUACAGAAGCCUGUUUCAUGAAUGAGCAACUUCAAACCAGAGUUUUAAAAAAGCAUUUCUCUGAUCAUAUCCAUUUUUUUUAUAAGAAGGAGCCCGGGGCACUAUGUGAUAAUGCAGAGAUACACAUUAAAACCAGCUAAGGUUUUGUAGGCUUGUCAUCUGAUGAAGAUUAUUGCAGCAGUGUUGUGGUGUGCUGCUGGGGAAGCCACCUGAGAUCAGCAGCAAAACAAAGUUGGGUCUCCAUAGGGUAAAAGUUUUGGGUUUGAGGUGGUUUCUCCCUACAGAUGUAAGAGGACUUGAUCUGCUGAACUUCCAUGGUAACAACCACACCGAGGAGCAGGAAGUAUUCUUAUGAUGCUGUUUGACUUCAGUGCACAUUAACCAAAUAAAAAACAAAAGCAGUGAAAGGAGGGCAAAAAAGUCAACGAUAAACACACUGUUGUAUUAAAGCCUGGCAGAAAAAUUCUAGCAGAAUAUUAUUUCCUUGGAAUUUGCUAACUCUUUGAUAUCCAAAUGUUUCACAAGGGUGGGGAGUAUUCAGUUCCCUCAAGAUGUUCUUCUAGACAACAGGCCAGUUUUCUGAUUUCAUCCCUUUCCAUGUGCCGGGUUUCCAGAGUCUUUAGCUUUGAUGCAGUCCUGGUGACACCCUGAUGUGGGGCUAAGGAUGCCAGCUCCUCCAUUGCUCUGCAGCAGCCUACCAAGUUGUUUUUAUAAAUUAUGCGUUUUCUCUAACCAUAAAUAUUGUUCCUAAAAGGGAUACUGAAAUGAAGAUAAUAUGACUUUUCAGUAAUAGCUCUUCUAAUGUCAGCCAUUCUGUUUAAACUGUUCAAUUUUCAACAGAAUUAAAGAUCUAUGCAGUAUAUUCUACCUCCUGCAGACUGCAGUUGUUAAAAGAAAAUAAAUCACUUAAACAGGGUCAUGAGCAACAAAGGCCAAUGUGGGUUCAAAGUUUACAGGUCUCUGCAUUUAUCAGGUAGAAAUAUGCUACAUUUCACUAUUUCAUAAAAUAUCCUUUUAUGAAAAAGCUAUCAAUCUUUGCAUGGCCUACUAAAACUGAUUUCUCAAAUGAAAGAAAUGAAUGAUGACACCAAAUCAAAAAAUCGUUUAUGAGUUUAUAUUUUUGCAAGACCACCAUGACUUUCACAUACGUUUUCAAUUUUGGUAAGGAUGUGAUUAUCAUGUGGAUAUGUUUUACUCCCACCAUUUGUACUAAGGGAUCUGUCAGAACUGUGUACCCUUCCUUGAGCAGUUCAGGAUUUGUUCAGAUUUUUUCAUUAAUCUAUAGUGGUUUUUAUCCAGUGAUCCUUAUCAUUUCUGUACAUUAUCCACAGGUUUUAUGGGUUAUAUAUAGAUAUGUAUAAAAUCACAUCUGUCAUGGGCAAGUUCACCUUUAAACUAAGACUGCAUUUAAAUGACUGUUAUUUCUCAGAGGAAUGAUAUUUGCAGUAUUCCUGUCGCACACUCUACAAAACGUCAUCUUCAUUACAGAUUUUUAGUUAUCCUUCUGGUCUUCCCUUAUCUUUGCUAUGCUUCCUCCAGGAGUCUUCAAGCUUUUUAACCAAAAGGACAGUUUAGAUACUUGAAAACAGUACAUUUAUAUUUCAGAUAUUGUAGUACUUCAAUUUGGUGGUUUGGGGCAGGAACAAUAUAAGAAAUUAUUUCUUAUCUGGUAAUGACAAUACAGCAACCAAAAUGUGGCACUGGAGUAAGGAAAAGUGAUUUCUGUUCUGGGUAAAUGCUGUGGGCUCCCUUUGGGUCUGCACAGAGCAAAUGAGCUUUGGCCUUUCCAGGUCUCCAGUGAAAACAAACACAAACAAAUGAAUACGAUUUAUUAAGUAUCAGUCUCAUAAGAAGAAGAAUGCAUGGGGAAGUUAGUCCAAACUUCUGAGAGAAAAUUUGAUGCUUGGGUUUUUAAGGGGAGAAUUUUGCUCCUUUUGCUAUGGAGUUCAUUGGGAAAAAAAAAAAGUCAUACUUGCACUGUAUUUUAGGCAUUUUACUUUUUCCACUUUAUUUAGGAAUUAUCUUUUAACCAUCUGUGAUUCAGUGAUGAAAAUACAGAGUUACAGAAUGUCCUGCGCUUCCUUUGUAACUGAGAAAUUAGACUUUUGGUCAAAGAGGGCAUGCCAUCUAAACACGUAUUUAUUCCUAUCAACUUUCUCUAGUGCCUCCUAGGGAAAAAAAAAAAAAAGACAAACCAUGAAAGAAUAGAGUCUAGCUGUAAUUCUUGGGAAAACCCUUUUGCCAAGUCACACACAGAGUGUUUGGUGUGGAGUCGCACUCUGGCUGGCAUUGCUUUCCUGUAACCUGCGUUGUGGUGAGUCCUUUCACAGCGUGUUCCUGGGUGAGCAGGCUGUGAAACACAGCUGAUGCCACCACCAAACACUCUGGAAAACCUCACGUACAGAGAAAACAGUCUUUCAAUGAGCGCUUUGCAUUACAAACCAAACAUUGUUCCAAAACAAAAUCUAUCUUGUCUGAUUAGACCAAAAGGUAAACAAAACAUUCUAAUCAUCUGGUGAUGACCUUAGAGAAAAUGUUGCUGUUAGAGCAGGCAAGAUAGGAAGUUCUGGAUUUUUUUUUUAAAUGAAUUUCAGAAGAAUGGUACUUACAAGAAAUUUGAGGGCUUCUGUCAAUGUGCUCCUCAAAGCAUCCUGAAAAAAAAUUCACAAAAUUCUGUAACAGCUCCCUCAGGUGCCAGAAUAAUGCCCCCAAAUCCACAGACUGGCUCAGGAGAGCUCAGUGUGCUUUGCCUUCACAUCUUAGUACAGAAUUCUGUGCUUCUUGCAGUCAAGGGCCCGUGGCUGAUUCAUGCAUUAAAAAUGCUCCAAGUAGCUGGAAGGAUCUGAGGCCGUGUGCAUAAAAUGUAAAGAGCUCAUAACCCUGCUUGAGGAGUUGUUCAUCACUUAAUGGAUUCUCUACCUGAGGAAAAGCAGAUCAAGAGCUCGGCAGCUUUAGGUGUCAAAAAGGCAAUUUCCAUUCUAAGUGGAAUGGAAGUGUUAUCUUAAAAGUAUCUUAGAAGCACUUUCCCUCCCUUUGACCCAUAUAAAAGCUGUGGAAACCUUAUUAAAAGUCCAAGAUAUAGCAAUAUAUUUUCAAAUGGCUAAGAUAGUCAAAUUCCAUUCUGGUGACCGUCUCCACUGUGUGUAAUCUUAAAUUUGAAGAGGAAGUCUCCAAAGAAAACUUUAUUAAUGUGUUCUGUAAGUGCCUGCAGUUUUGCAAGUGCAUUAGGAUGGUCACACAGGAGUGUGUCAUGAUGUGUCAUGUAGUUUGGUAUGCUGCAUCUGAUCCUGGCUGUUGGGGGAUCACUUGGAGGAUGAUGGAUGGAGCUCCAAAACAGCCUGUCAGAACAACUUGUCCAGGGAAGGCAGGGGAAGAGGAGUGGAAAGGUUCUUCAUUGUCUCUUCUCAGCCACUGUUUGACGUGCCAUGAAAUGUAAGCAUAAUUUCCUUCUCUAAUAGAACAUUGAAUGUUUUUAUAAUCUGUCAUUGAUUACCAAAGUGCAAUUGUAAGAGGUCUGUAGCUGACCCAUUGAAUCACACUGUUUUUAUGGUGUUUCCAAUUACAAUUUUAUUAAAGAGUGAAAGAUGUUCUGUGAGGAGAAUUGAGAGACAUCCAUUCCAAAAUGAGUGGGAAGCUUGUCUUUGCAAUGUUUUAAAUUCUGCUUCCAACCCUAGUAAAGCCAGGGAUUCCACCAGUUAAUUAUGUGCUGUUACACUUCAGUUUCAUCAGAAGUCAGGUAGGACAGACUAAAUACUGAGUGCCUGUUUUCUCUGUAUCUUUCGUUGUUUGAUGUGCCUCUGCUGAAUACCCCUUUGGGCAAUAAUGGUUCUCUUCAUGACUGUCUCUGGUCAUGAAGAGAUCUUUUCAGACUUCCAGUCAUUUCUCUGUGGCUCUGCCCCUCUUUGUGCUGAAGGCCCCAGAAGUUGUCUCAAGGCAAAGGUUUUGAAGGAUAUAGCCCUCUCUAAGGUCCCACAGUGCAGCGUGCUGCUAUUGUAUGAAAUGCUCACAAGAGAGCAGAGGGAUCUCUGGACCUGAACCUGCCCUAAACCAGGGCAGCUCUCUGCUGCUGAACAAUCCACCUCUCACCAGGAGCUACACUACCAUUGUUAUUCUCCCUUGCUCUUUAAUUCUAAAAGUGCAGUGAUACGUGAUAUGUAUUUCUCCUGCUCUGUCCUCAAGGACAUACUAAUGUGCUGCUGGGUUGGAAAUACUUUCUUUAAAAGUACUCAAACGCUGGAAAGCUAUUUUUUUAGGAUAGCUGCAACUUGAGAACAUCUUUUCUUAGGGAAAAGAACAGUUCAGAAACUUCUUAACCAUUUAAAUGCACUGUGAGGUUUGUAAUUAAACUCUU